GGUUGUUCACGUAUUUGAAAAUUCGCUCUCGGGUCUUGGGAGAUGUAAACAUCACCAUUGAUGCAUUUGUGGAUGAGCUGUAUCCUGAAGUAUGUGGACCAGAAUAUGUGAUCAGUAAAAGGGACAUUCUGAUCAAGCCAAUCAAAGUGGAGGCUGAAGGAUUCCCAAGAGAAAAGACAUGGACCAAAUACAUUUGCUCCAAAGAUAUUAUUGAAAAUGCAGACUUUUUAGAGAUUUGGAAGGUAGAACCACCACCACACAUUGUAGAAGACUCAGCUAGGGGUUGGGUGACUGCAGUUGGUGACCUUCUAGGGCCUACACUUGAGAAUCUUGGCCCCCCUUGUAAAAAAAGCCAUAUGGGCCCGGGG